rnacentral:rRNA from 1 species
GAAAACUACAAGCAUAAGCUCAAAACUCAAAGAACCUGGCGGCGCUUUUAAUCCACCUAGAGGAGCCUGUCCUGUAAUCGACAAUCCCCGUUAUACCUUACCUUUUUUAACUCCAGCCUAUAUACCGCCGUCGUCAGCUUACCCUUCGAAGGGUUAUAAGUUAGCAAGACCAGUUAAAACCUCCAGACGUCAGGUCAAGGUGCAGCAGAUAAAAAGUGAAGAGAUGGGCUACAUUACCUGCAAAAGGACUCCGAAUAAUGUUUUGAAACAAACAUAUUGAAGCAGAAUUUAGUAGUAAGUAGAAAAUAGAGCGUUCUACUGAAUCUGGGCCUUAAGCGCGCACACACCGCCCGUCAUUCUCUCCUAACUUAUACUCUUACCUUUAUAUAAAAAUUUUCAACAACAAAGGGGAGACAAGUCGUAACAUGGUAGGUGUACUGGAAAGUGCACCUGGACAAA